rnacentral:misc_RNA from 1 species
AACCUUAUGGACCUGCGGGCGUAUACCUGCGGAGGGAUCAUUAACAUUUUUGGAGGCAGGCUGUAUAAGUCUGGUUGGUAACAACUAGCAUGGCCCCUCUGAUUUGUACCCUUGUCUAUUUGCGCACUCAUGUUUCCUCGGUGGGCUUGCCUGCCGAUUGGACAAACUUAUAACCUUUUUAAUUGUUAAAUCAGCGUCUGAAACAAACGUAAUAAUUACAACUUUCAACAAUGGAUCUCA